CUUGGGCACAGACAUGGAGCCACAAUAAGCUAUUGCCAGUCCUGGUGUUUGGCUUCCCCCUCACCCCCCUUCUGGCUUAGAGUUUCUCAUCUGUCAAGAUUCAUUAACAUGGUGAUGAAGAUUUAUGAAGGGCAAGGUCAGCAAAACUGCAGACUACAAGAUCACUAGGCUGACAAGUCCUAAGAUCUGCAGGCAGCAGACUGGAGACUCGGGAGAACUGAUGGUGUAGUUCCAGAUCAAAGGCCAGCAGGCUCGAGACUGAGGAAGAGCCAUUAUUUCAACUGGAAUCCCAAGGCAGGAAAAAACUAAUGACCCAGCUUGAAGGCAGUCAGGUAGGAGGAAUUCUCUCUUCUUUAGGGAAAGGUCCACUUUUUUGUGCUAUUCAGGUCUUCCACUGAUUGGAUGAGACCCACCUACCUUAGGGAGGACAAUCGGCCUUACUCAGUCUAUCAAUUUAAUUGUUACACUUGUCCAAAAACACCUUCACAGAAAGACUCAGAACAAUGUUUGAUCAGUUACCUGGGCUCCUCAUAGACCAGUCAAGUUGACACAUAAAAUUAACCAUCACAGAAACCAGUCCGCAAAUCUCAGAAGGAUUUCUUGGGAGCAGUGCUACUGAGGGAAGCUCAAAAGAUUGUUUCUGAUCCUUUCAUCUACCAUUCUCCAUCACCAAAUUGACGAAACUCUCUGUCUUAUUUUUCUCCAAUUUCUUUUUGUUCUCAUCUUUAUUUCUAUUUUCCUGUCCACAUGCCUGUCAUUAUCCCCAUAGACACUGAUAGGAUUUGGCUGUGUCCCCAUCCCAAUCUCAUCUUGAAUUGUAGCUCCCAUAAUUCCCACGUGUUAUGAGAGGGACCUGGUGGGAGAUCAUUGAAUCAUGGGGGCAGUUUCCCCAAUAUUGUUCUCGCGGUAGUGGGCACGUCUCACGAGAUCCGAUGAUUUUACAAGGGGUUUCCCCUUUCACUUGACUCUCAUUCUUUCUUGUGUGCUACCAUGUAAGAUAUGCCUUUCCUUGUGAGGCCUCCCCAGCCACGUGGAACUGUGAGUCCAUUAA
rnacentral:lncRNA from 1 species